CCUUUAGAUGUUCUGGGCCGCACGCGCGCUACACUGACGAAUGCAACGAGCUUAUAACCUUGGCCGAAAGGUCUGGGUAAUCUCCAAAUUUCGUCGUGAUGGGGAUAGAUUAUUGCAAUUAUUAAUCUUCAACGAGGAAUGCCUAGUAAGCGCAAGUCAUCAGCUUGCGUUGAUUACGUCCCUGCCCUUUGUACACACCGCCCGUCGCUCCUACCGAUUGAAUGGUCCGGUGAAGCGUUCGGACCGUGGCCUUUGGACGGUUCGCCGUCUGUUGGCUGCGGGAAGUUCGUUAAACCUUAUCAUUUAGAGGAAGGAGAAGUCGUAACA
rnacentral:rRNA from 1 species